rnacentral:rRNA from 1 species
AGAGUUUGAUCCUGGCUCAGGACGAACGCUGGCGGCGUGCUUAACACAUGCAAGUCGAACGGAAAGCGCUUUUCGGAGUGACUCGAGUGGCGAACGGGUGAGUAACACGUGGGUGAUCUGCCCUGCACUUUGGGAUAAGCCUGGGAAACUGGGUCUAAUACCGGAUAGGACUACGAAUCGCAUGGUUUGUGGUGGAAAGCUUUUGCGGUGUGGGAUGGGCCCGCGGCCUAUCAGCUUGUUGGUGGGGUGAUGGCCUACCAAGGCGACGACGGGUAGCCGGCCUGAGAGGGUGUCCGGCCACACUGGGACUGAGAUACGGCCCAGACUCCUACGGGAGGCAGCAGUGGGGAAUAUUGCACAAUGGGCGCAAGCCUGAUGCAGCGACGCCGCGUGAGGGAUGACGGCCUUCGGGUUGUAAACCUCUUUCAACAGGGACGAAGCGUAAGUGACGGUACCUGUAGAAGAAGCACCGGCCAACUACGUGCCAGCAGCCGCGGUAAU